GUUUGAUCCUGGCUCAGGACGAACGCUGGCGGCGUGCCUAACACAUGCAAGUCGAGCGGGGGGAGUUCUUCGGAACGAACCUAGCGGCGGACGGGUGAGUAACACGUGGGCAACCUGCCUUGAGGAGGGGGAUAACAGGAUGAAAGUCCUGCUAAUACCGCAUAAACCGGUGCUGUCGCAUGAUGGCAUCGGCAAAGGAGCAAUCCGCCUCAAGAUGGGCCCGCGGCGCAUUAGCUAGUUGGUGGGGUAACGGCCUACCAAGGCGACGAUGCGU
rnacentral:rRNA from 1 species